rnacentral:rRNA from 1 species
UACGUAGGGACCAAGCGUUGUUCGGAUUUACUGGGCGUAAAGGGCGCGUAGGCGGCGCGGUAAGUCACUUGUGAAAUCUCUGAGCUUAACUCAGAACGGCCAAGUGAUACUGCAGUGCUAGAGUGUGGAAGGGGCAAUCGGAAUUCUUGGUGUAGCGGUGAAAUGCGUAGAUAUCAGGAGGAACACCGGUGGCGAAGGCGGGUCUCUGGGCCGAUACUGACGCUGAGGAGCGAAAGCGUGGGGAGCGAACAGG